AUACGUAGGGGGCGAGCGUUGUCCGGAAUUACUGGGCGUAAAGGGCGCGUAGGCGGCCGAUUAAGUCUGGAGUGAAAGCCCCGCUUUCAAGGUGGGAAUUGCUUUGGAGACUGGUUGGCUUGAGUGCGGAAGAGGUAAGGGGAAUUCCCAGUGUAGCGGUGAAAUGCGUAGAGAUUGGGAGGAACACCAGUGGCGACGGCGACUUACUGGGCCGUAACUGACGAUGAGGCGCGAGAGCGUGGGGAGCGAACAGGAGUAGAUACCCUGGUACUCCCCGCGGUAAACGAUGAAUGCUAGGUGUAGGUGGGAUCGACCCCUUCUGUGCUGCAGUCAACACAAUAAGCAUUCCGCCUGGGGAGUACGGCCGCAAGGUUGAAACUCAAAUGAAUAGAAGGGG
rnacentral:rRNA from 1 species